GAUGAAGAACGUAGCGAAAUGCGAUAAGUAAUGUGAAUUGCAGAAUUCCGUGAAUCAUCGAAUCUUUGAACGCACAUUGCGCCCCCUGGCAUUCCGGGGGCAUGCCUGUCCGAGCGUCAUUUCUGCCCUCAAGCACGGCUUGUGUGUUGGGUGUGGUCCCCCCGGGGACCUGCCCGAAAGGCAGCGGCGACGUCCGUCUGGUCCUCGAGCGUAUGGGGCUCUGUCACUCGCUCGGGAAGGACCUGCGGGGGUUGGUCACCACCAUGUUUUACCACGGUUGACCUCGGAUCAGGUAGGAGUUACCCGCUGAACUUAAGCAUAUCAAUAAGCGGAGGA
rnacentral:misc_RNA from 1 species